UCUCUAGCUUGAUCCGCUUCAAGUCUCAUCCAAAAUCAUUUAAACUUAUCUUCAAUCUAUCAAAACAUAUCUACACACAAAAAAUCUUGGGAAGUUUUUCAGUUUGGAAUAAUGAUAUGAGGAAUUGUAAGAAUGGUUCAGUGGUGAGAUAAUAUUUUUUUGUGAGAAGAUUGCCAUUUUAGGAAUGCUUGAAACCACCAUAGAUUUAGCUCAGACUUUGGCGCUCUUCCUUCUUUCUUACCACGUUUUUCUGUCUUUUUAUUUUUAAUUUAAUACUUUAUGAUUAACAUUUAGCUUAAAAUAGACAUUUAGUUGAUGGUUGUUAC